rnacentral:rRNA from 1 species
UAAUACCCUAUAGGUUACAGAUGCUGGAAUGCUCUGUAAUCAAAAGUUCCGGCGCCCUAGGAUGGAUCUGCGGCCGAUUAGGUUGUUGUUGGGGUAAUGGCCCAACAAGCCAGUAAUCGGUACGGGUUGUGGGAGCAAGAGCCCGGAGUUGGAUUCUGAGACACGAAUCCAGGCCCUACGGGGCGCAGCAGGCGCGAAAACUUUACAAUGCGGGCAACCGUGAUAAGGGAACCUCGAGUGCCUGUAAAUGCAGGCUGUUCAGAUGCCUAAAACACAUCUGGAGAAAGGGCCGGGCAAGACCGGUGCCAGCCGCCGCGGUAAUACCGGCGGCUCGAGUGGUGGCCACUUUUAUUGGGCUUAAAGCGUUCGUAGCUGGGUUGUUAAGUCUCUUGGGAAAUCUGGCGGCUUAACCGUCAGGCGUCUAAGGGAUGCCGGCAAUCUUGGAACCGGGAGAGGUGAGGGGUACUUCGGGGGUAGGAGUGAAAUCCUGUAAUCCUCGAGGGACCACCUGUGGCGAAGGCGCCUCACCAGAACGGCUUCGACAGUGAGGGACGAAAGCUGGGGGAGCAAACCGGAUUAGAUACCCGGGUAGUCCCAGCCGUAAACUAUGCGCGUUAGGUGUAU